rnacentral:rRNA from 1 species
CCCGCGAACUAAUACUCUAACUCGGGACAAGGGCAAGGCUCACUUGUGCGCCCGUGCCCCUCGCCCCUCAGCCGAGAUGCGCUCUUUGUUCCCCCGAUUGCCGUCGGGCGUGCACAAUGGGAGCUUCUUCGGUUACUAACGAACCCCGGCGCGGAAUGCGCCAAGGAAAUCUUAACGAAAAAUAGCGUGCCACUGGCCGACUUGUGCGGCAAUGGUGAUGCAAACUUCGAUACUUUAACGACUCUCGGCAACGGAUAUCUCGGCUCUCGCAUCGAUGAAGAACGUAGCGAAAUGCGAUACUUGGUGUGAAUUGCAGAAUCCCGUGAACCAUCGAGUCUUUGAACGCAAGUUGCGCCCGAAGCCAUUCGGCCGGGGGCACGUCUGCCUGGGCGUCACGUAUCGCGUAGCCCCCACACACCUACCCCUCUUUGGGGGAGUUGAUGCGGGUGCAGAAAUUGGCCUCCCGUGCCCACACACGGUUGGCMUAAAUGCAAGCCUCGGGGUGACCAAGGGUCACGACAAGCGGUGGUUGAUCAUCGGCCCUUGUUGCGUCGUGCCCGUCCGUUCCCCCACGAGCUCAACGUCCCUGACGCGCUGUCCUGAAAGGAGGCGCUUGCAUCGCGACC